UUAUUAACAGAAAAUAAUUAUAAUAGCAUUUGUUUUCAAAUACAAGAAAGAUAAUAUUUAGAUAUAUAGUUUAUAUUGUCAGCUAUGAUGAUUAUUUAUCUGCUCCACAUAAAGGCUGAUUUACAAAAUUUAUUAACAUAUUAUAUGAACCAAAUUUUUUUAUAUACAGAAUGUAAAACUUCUAUGUAAAACAUAAUGUAUAGAAACAUGACAAUACUUUAAAGUUUUUUUAUUAUAUUCAAAAUUUUAUGCGUAUACACAAAAUAUGUUUCUAAAAAUCUAACAUUUUAUUUGAAAUCUGAAAUAUUAACCGAAAACCGAAUCUGAAACACAAAAGAAUAAUCGUGACACCGAAGACAUAUUUGAAACAGAAAAAUAUAUUUAAUAUAUACAAUACAUUUUAGAUACUCAGGGUACCGGUUCAGAUCUCUGUAGAAUCCAAACCUAAACCGACACUGUGGGUUUGAAAUAUACCCAAUAAAUAUUUUGCCGUAGAUUUGGAUCUGAACCGAUUCGGAUCGGUUUUUAUUCGAACCAAACAAAAUGUUUAGACCUAAAAAGAGUUACAUAACAAUAUACAUACAAAAUUUUAAAUAAAUUAAUUCAUAAAUCAUAUAAUUUUAUAAAAUUCUAUGUUUUGAUAUAAUUCGAUAUUGUAACAUAAUAACAUACAAAAAUCAUUAAUAUUAUUAAACUUUUUAUUGUAAGAAAACCCGCGCUUUUGAAGCGCGGGUCAAAAUCUAGUAAAUUCUUACAAAGCAGACAUCCAAAUCAACUGAACUGGAUUCAAUACAAAAUUACAAAUGACAAAUUCUAGUAAAGCCUUUUAGACAAAAAUACUGAUUACAUUAACCAACCAUAAAGACAACGUAUACCAAUUAUCAAUGGUCCUAUACCAUAAAAAAAAUUGAGAGAAAAAAUCCAAGAAACCAUAUGGGCAUAGUCACACAGUUGAGGGCAGACAAGUUUUCCGAUUUCAUAUGUUUGUUGCGUUAAUCUUCUGAUUAUAUUGUACAAUAUUACUUUGUUAUGCUAGAACACAAAACCAUUUUUACCAAAGAAAAACACAAAAUCAUUUUUACCAAAAAAAACAAACACAAAAUCAUCGACGGGGUAGAUGUAAAUCCACGAACUUCGCCAUGUUUGGCUGAGAAUAUCUAGAAUUUACUAGAUAAAUUUGGAUAAAAUGAAUAAAUUAGUCAGGUGGAGCUUGCUACGAUUAACACUUUAACCUUUAUGAAAAAGUAUAGUUUUGUGUUAGGAAAGAAAAUGACUUUCUUAUUAAGAAACGUAGAUUCCCCGCCGGUAAUUGAUAAAUUUGACCUUGAAAACCAUAUUAUAUCAGUUACAAAAAAAAAAGAAAACCAUAUUAUAUCGACCCACGAGUCCGUGUUUUUCUUCAGAAUAACCACAAAAAGCAAACUAAAUUAACGGCGACUUAAAAGAAUUUUUCCUUGUUUAGGCUAAGUUUCUCUCUUGCGAAAAAUAUCGUCUGUUUUUGUGAGUGGAGCUUUGGUUGGUGUGCCGGUGACUCAUAACUCACCUCUUCAGUAAAAAAAUGUUUUUUCAAUUAAAUCUUCAGAGUUUUUAGGGUUUGUUCUUAUUAUCAGGCGGUGGUUCUUAUAAUCAUCUGAAAAAUACAUCAUGUCUUAGGAGAUGGAUAAAGCUAUGAUGGAACUGUCAUUAGAGGAAGAAGAUCAACCGUUUAAUAUGCCGGAUCUCCCACAGUUCAAAUCGAGUCAGAAGAAUUCCAGAAAUUUGAUUGGGAGGAUCCUGAAUCCGGAUUGCCAGAAGAUGGCUAAGCUCAUCCUCAGCAUGCCUUGCAAGUGACACAAGGGUGGUAAAGUGAGAGGAGUGGCCUUGUUGAAGGAGAGAUCUUAAUUCAUCUUCGAUCAUGAACAUGACCUGGAAGAAAUACUAGAGAAAGGUGUACACACUUUCAGUGAUUGGACCUUGGCUAUUGAUAGGUGGGUGGAGAGACCACCUCCAGACUAUCUUCAAUUUAUUCCGAUCUGGAUCAAAAUCCGAAACCUUCCGGUAAAUUACUAUACUUCUGAAGCGAUUACAGAUUUGUUAGGAGAAGUCAAAGAGGUGGAUUUUGAUCCAGAAAAGUCGCAAAGUAGGGAGUAUGUAAGGGUGUUAAUCCGCUUCAAGGUAUCCAUGCCUCUGAGGAAGUCUAAGUUGCUGAAUCUUCCUGAAAGGGGCUCUGCCAUAGUCUACUUUAAUUAUGAGAGGAUUUAAAAAACGUGCUAUGAGUGUCAGCGUCUAAACCACUCUAACGAUGUGUGUCCUCUAUUGGUUAAAAAGAGAAAAGAAGAGGCUUUGGGUAGAAGACAAAGAGUUAUUCAGGAUAGAGGCGGUUUGGAGAAAUUUAUUAGAAAAAAUGAUCCCCUUUAUGGUGUUCUUUCUGAGGAUCAAGUUGGUAUCUGCAGAGAGACAGGAAGGAGGAAGGUUGCACAAGAAGUGCUAGAGGAGAUGAGAAGGUAUAUGAUGAUGGCCACUGAUGAUGACAAGCUUGUUCGAAUGGAUAGGGUCCGCUCUUCUAUGGCAGAAGCUGAGAAAGAUCCAUUUACUCAGAAAUCAAUGUUAAGAUUGGAAUCUACUCCUCUAUUUACUAAGCAACUGGAUAAAGGAAAAGGGGUGGUCUAUGAUUUUGAUCUCAAUGUAACUGAGCAAACUCGGGAAGUAAGAGGAGAAUGAAAGAAAAGCUCAUGGAUUAUGCGUUCAGAGCGGGGAGGUGUGGUGACUCAAUGGAACAGUUUGGAGACAUGAGUAUUCAAGUUGGGAGAAGCAAGAGCAGUGUGGAGAGGAAGGAUUUGUCUAAUCCUCAGAUAACUAAGGCUAUGAAGAUCAAUGAGGCAAAUGCUGGUUUUUGCGCUUUGGUGGUAACUCUACGGAAUAUGGUUCUUCCUCUGGGAACAGACCAUCCAGGGUUCCACAAAAGAGUAAUAAUACCAGGAGAAGGCCUUAUAUAAGAAAGAGACAAGAACAGAGAAGUGGUACUUCAAGUGUUUAAUAACUAUAUGGCUCUGAAGUGGAUAAGCAGAAAGUUGGUUAUAAAAGAAGGAUUGAGGGUGAAGAGUGCUCGGGCGGAAAAAUUGCAAGGCGUAAAGAUGCAAGGGUGAUCCCGCACAAGGGAUCACCAAGAUCCUGAUGAGCAUUAUUAGCUGGAAUUGUCAGGGACUGGGAUUCCCUCAGGACCUGACAAUUACACGCCUAAAGGAGAUGCGUCAAAAACAUUUUUCGGAGGUGUUGUUUUUGAUGGAGACUAGUAUCGGCAGAACCUGAUGGGCAUGGGGGGGGGGGGGGGGGGGUCUUGCCAUUUUUUGGAAGAAGUCUAUCAAUAUUGACUUUAAGGUUGUAAACAAGAACUUGAUAGAUUGUAUAUUACAGUUUGGAGAAGUUUCUUUUUUUUGGUCUUGUGUAUAUGGCCUGUCGGAUUGGAGCAGUAGGAUUGAGUUAUGGGAACGCUUGAGUAGGAUAGGUGUGAAUAGAAGGGAUAGUUGGUGUGUGUUUGGAGACUUUAAUGAUAUUUUACAUAAUGGAGAAAAGAUAGGUGGGGUGUGGAGGUCUGAUGAGUCUUUUGUUCCGUUUAACCAGAUGGUGGAGGCUGGUAAACUAGAAGAACUUCCCAGUCAUAGGAAUGGUUUUACCUGGGGAGGGAAGAGAUAUAACUAUUGGAUUCAGUCUAGGUUGGACAGGUGUUUUGGUAAUAAAGCCUGGUUUGAGCAGUUUCCUUGUUCCAAUCAAACUUUUUUGGAUAUAAGGGGUUCUAAUCACCAGCAUGUGUACAUCAAUCUCACGCCUGGAUAAAAGAAAACUGGUGCAAGAAAUAUUUCAAACGUACCUGAGAUGAGGUUUCCACUCAUUUUGUUUGAUAUUCGAUAAUUAAAUUAUAAACAAAAGAAUAUAAGCAGAAAAAAAGAGAUGGUGAGAGGAGAUGAAUAGAUAAAAAGAUUGGAGAAAUAGGACUAUUAUUAAAUACUAAAAGCUAAAUAUACUCCUCAUCUAGCCUGUCUACGUAGGACUAUUAAUUCUAGCCAAUCAUAGAUCUUCAUCUCUCCACAUCACCCCAGUUUAAGUCAAGAAUGAAAAUUUCAGGCUUUUUGUGUGUGAGCUCAUUAGAUUUCGUUAAGGCCCAAGUUCAAACCCACUUCAGCAACACUAAUAUCCUAAUCGACUCUGCCUCAUCCGCUUCGUCUUCUCCGUUUUGGUUCAUGCAAUCUCUGUUACUGUACCUCCUCUCCUUUCCUACCUUCCACCUUUUCUACUCAUAUAUAAAUUGCUAAAUAGCUUCUUCAAAACACACUUCCAUACAAACCCGAACUCUUACCUUAAACGUCUUCUGACUUUUCAAUUUCUAAAAGAUCGAAAAACCUUGACCAAAAAAUGUUUUCUCUGUGUCAUCAUAUACCAGAGUAUGAUAUGAGAAGAAGUAUCCUGAUCCAGUUCUCGAAGAGCCAAUCUUAACGUUUGGUCCACUCUCAGCUGUUUUGCCGAUGAUCUAUUGCGGUGAAGACUCUUCGCAAGAGCUUUCUGAACUUCAUGAUCUCAGUCUGGGGGUACUGCAAAGUGGUGAACAUCUUUUUUUUUCUUUUUUUUUGAAACUUAGUGGUGAACAUCUUGACAAUACUUUUUAAGAAUGUUAUCACGAUCUCAUGAUGAAAUCAAGUAUGGAGCGAUUUCUGCUGUUUUAGACAACAAGAACAUCACUGCCGUGACAAUGGCAGCAAUCGAUGAGAGCCAGGAUAUGCAGAAGAGUGUAAGAUCGGCGUAGUUGAUCCCUUAUGAUUGGUCACAGGUGAGUUGUUGAGAUUCAGAAUUUCCCUUAUUUUGCUCAGUUGGAUUUUGGUUUUGAUUAUGGGAUGCCACGAGCCUUUUAAUGUUUCUGAAGCGUCCAAGUUCCCCGAUGAGCAGUGGGAUCCCAUGUUUACAGUCAGCCUUGCUCAGAAAAACCACCAUCCGCAGCAGUUUCAGACCAAAGGCCCUGCUAAUGUUCCUCCAGAUGGAAUAAGAUUCCCGAAAAGUUGUGUCUUCAACACUCCUCUCUAUGAGCAAGUUGUUAAUGAAGCGCCAAAGUUAAGAUAUGAAUAGGGUAACCUAUUCGAUUGUGGAGAUCUUGAUAGGACUUACGAAAUACAAUCAGAGCACCUUAUGGGGCAGUUUGGCAUUGUGAUAUGUAGUGAGCAAGAGCUUGCUGAAUAUACCCAUUGUUUCAGGUUUUGAAGAAGAACUUGCUGAAUAAGUUUCUACCAUUAAUUUUGUUUAAAAAGCGUUCCUCGAAUCUCUGUCCUAUUAGUUUUAUAGAUUUGGAUCAACUUGUGCACCUAAUAAAUCACAUUUGUGAUGUAUGAAUUAUCAAUGGUUCUUUUGUGUUUUUUGGUAUGGAUUACUCAUUGUUUCAGGGUCAUAUUAGCUUUGA